AUUGAACGCUGGCGGCAGGCCUAACACAUGCAAGUCGAACGGUAGCACAGAGAGCUUGCUCUCGGGUGACGAGUGGCGGACGGGUGAGUAAUGUCUGGGAAACUGCCCGAUGGAGGGGGAUAACUACCGGAAACGGUAGCUAAUACCGCAUAAUGUCGCAAGACCAAAGAGGGGGACCUUCGGGCCUCUUGCCAUCGGAUGUGCCCAGAUGGGAUUAGCUUGUAGGUGAGGUAACGGCUCACCUAGGCGACGAUCCCUAGCUGGUCUGAGAGGAUGACCAGCCACACUGGAACUGAGACACGGUCCAGACUCCUACGGGAGGCAGCAGUGGGGAAUAUUGCACAAUGGGCGCAAGCCUGAUGCAGCCAUGCCGCGUGUAUGAAGAAGGCCUUCGGGUUGUAAAGUACUUUCAGCGGGGAGGAAGGGAGUGAGGUUAAUAACCUUAUUCAUUGACGUUACCCGCAGAAGAAGCACCGGCUAACUCCGUGCCAGCAGCCGCGGUAAUGCGGAGGGUGCAAGCGUUAAUCGGAAAUACUGGGCGUAAGCGCACGCAGGCGGUCUGUCAAGUCGGAUGUGAAAUCCCCGGGCUCAACCUGGGAACUGCAUUCGAAACUGGCAGGCUGGAGUCUUGUAGAGGGGGGUAGAAUUCCAGGUGUACCGGUGAAAUGCGUAGAGAUCUGGAGGAAUACCGGUGGCGAAGGCGGCCCCCUGGACAAAGACUGACGCUCACGUGCGAAAGCGUGGGGAGCAAACAGGAUUAGAUACCCUGGUAGUCCACGCUGUAAACGAUGUCGACUUGGAGGUUGUUCCCUUGAGGAGUGGCUUCCGGAGCUAACGCGUUAAGUCGACCGCCUGGGGAGUACGGCCGCAAGGUUAAAACUCAAAUGAAUUGACGGGGGCCCGCACAAGCGGUGGAGCAUGUGGUUUUAUUCGAUGCAACGCGAAGAACCUUACCUACUCUUGACAUCCACGGAAUUUGGCAGAGAUGCCUUAGUGCCUUCGGGAACCGUGAGACAGGUGCUGCAUGGCUGUCGUCAGCUCGUGUUGUGAAAUGUUGGGUUAAGUCCCGCAACGAGCGCAACCCUUAUCCUUUGUUGCCAGCGAUUCGGUCGGGAACUCAAAGGAGACUGCCAGUGAUAAACUGGAGGAAGGUGGGGAUGACGUCAAGUCAUCAUGGCCCUUACGAGUAGGGCUACACACGUGCUACAAUGGCAUAUACAAAGAGAAGCGACCUCGCGAGAGCAAGCGGACCUCAUAAAGUAUGUCGUAGUCCGGAUUGGAGUCUGCAACUCGACUCCAUGGAGUCGGAAUCGCUAGUAAUCGUGGAUCAGAAUGCCACGGUGAAUACGUUCCCGGGCCU
rnacentral:rRNA from 1 species